rnacentral:rRNA from 1 species
CAGUCGCCGCGGGAAUACGAAGGGUGCAAGCGUUACUCGGAGUUACUGGGCGUAAAGCGUGCGUAGGUGGUGGUUUAAGUCCGUUGUGAAAGCCCUGGGCUCAACCUGGGAAUUGCAGUGGAUACUGGAUCACUAGAGUGUGGUAGAGGAUAGUGGAAUUUCCGGUGUAGCAGUGAAAUGCGUAGAGAUCGGGAGGAACAUCAGUGGCGAAGGCGGCCAUCUGGGACAACACUGACGCUGAGGCACGAAAGCGUGGGGAGCAAACAGGAUUAGAUACCCCAGUAGUCCCUGUCUCUUAUAC